AACGCUGGCGGCGUGCCUAAUACAUGCAAGUCGAGCGAACGGACGAGAAGCUUGCUUUUCUGAUGUUAGCGGCGGACGGGUGAGUAACACGUGGAUAACCUACCUAUAAGACUGGGAUAACUUCGGGAAACCGGAGCUAAUACCGGAUAAUAUUUUGAACCGCAUGGUUCAAAAGUGAAAGACGGUCUUGCUGUCACUUAUAGAUGGAUCCGCGCUGCAUUAGCUAGUUGGUAAGGUAACGGCUUACCAAGGCAACGAUGCAUAGCCGACCUGAGAGGGUGAUCGGCCACACUGGAACUGAGACACGGUCCAGACUCCUACGGGAGGCAGCAGUAGGGAAUCUUCCGCAGUGGGCGAAAGCCUGACGGAGCAACGCCGCGUGAGUGAUGAAGGUCUUCGGAUCGUAAAACUCUGUUAUUAGGGAAGAACAUAUGUGUAAGUAACUGUGCACAUCUUGACGGUACCUAACCAGAAAGCCACGGCUAACUACGUG
rnacentral:rRNA from 1 species